UACGUAGGGUGCAAGCGUUGUCCGGAAUUAUUGGGCGUAAAGAGCUCGUAGGCGGUCUGUCGCGUCUGCUGUGAAAACUCAGGGCUUAACCCUGAGCUUGCAGUGGGUACGGGCAGACUAGAGUGCGGUAGGGGAGACUGGAAUUCCUGGUGUAGCGGUGAAAUGCGCAGAUAUCAGGAGGAACACCGGUGGCGAAGGCGGGUCUCUGGGCCGUAACUGGACGCUGGAGGAGCGAAAGCA
rnacentral:rRNA from 1 species